GAUCAUGGCUCAGGACGAACGCUGGCGGUAUGCUUAACACAUGCAAGUCGAACGAGACGAGAUGGAAGGAUCCUUCGGGUGACGGAAAUCUUAGAAAGUGGCGAACGGGUGAGUAACGCGUGGGUAACCUGCCCUAUGGAAAGGAAUAGCCUCGGGAAACUGGGAGUAAUGCCUUAUAAUACAUUGAAGUCGCAUGGCUUUGAUGUUAAACGCUCCGGUGCCAUAGGAUGGACCCGCGUCCCAUUAGCUAGUUGGUGAGAUAACAGCCCACCAAGGCGACGAUGGGUAACCGGUCUGAGAGGGCGAACGGUCACACUGGAACUGAGACACGGUCCAGACUCCUACGGGAGGCAGCAGUGGGGAAUAUUGCGCAAUGGGGGGCAACCCUGACGCAGCAAUACCGCGUGAGUGAAGAAGGUUUUCGGAUCGUAAAGCUCUGUUAUUGGGGAAGAAAAAAGACGGUACCCAAGAAGAAAGUCCCGGCUAACUACGUGCCAGCCGCAGC
rnacentral:rRNA from 1 species